AUACGUAGGGUGCGAGCGUUGUCCGGAAUGAUUGGGCGUAAAGGGCGCGUAGGCGGCCCGGUAAGUCUGGAGUGAAAGUCCUGUUUUUAAGAUGGGAAAUGCUUUGGAUACUGUCGGGCUUGAGUGCAGGAGAGGUAAGUGGAAUUCCCAGUGUAGCGGUGAAAUGCGUAGAGAUUGGGAGGAACACCAGUGGCGAAGGCGACUUACUGGACUGUAACUGACGCUGAGGCGCGAAAGUGUGGGGAGCAAACAGGAUUAGAUACCCUGGUAGUCCACACUGUAAACGAUGAAUGCUAGGUGUAGGGGGUAUCGACCCCUUCUGUGCCGCAGUCAACACAAUAAGCAUUCCGCCUGGGGAGUACGGCCGCAAGGUUGAAACUCAAAUGAAUUGGCGGGU
rnacentral:rRNA from 1 species